rnacentral:rRNA from 1 species
AUGCAUGUCUAAGUAUAAGCAAUUAUACGGCGAAACUGCGAAUGGCUCAUUACACAAGUUAUCGUUUAUUUGAUAGUACCUUACUACUUGGAUAACUGUGGUAAUUCUAGAGCUAAUACAUGCUAAAAAUCCCGACUCCGGAAGGGAUGUAUUUAUUAGAUUAAAAACCAAUGCCCUCUGGGCUCUAUGGUGAUUCAUGAUAACUUCUCGAAUCGCAUGGCCUUGCGCCGGCGAUGGUUCAUUCAAAUUUCUUCCCUAUCAACUUUCGAUGUUUGGGUAGUGGCCAAACAUGGUUGCAACGGGUAACGGAGGGUUAGGGCUCGACCCCGGAGAAGGAGCCUGAGAAACGGCUACUACAUCCAAGGAAGGCAGCAGGCGCGCAAAUUACCCAAUCCCGACUCGGGGAGGUAGUGACAAUAAAUACUGAUACAGGGCUCUUUUGGGUCUUGUAAUCGGAAUGAGUACAAUUUAAAUCCCUUAACGAGGAACAANNNNNNNNNNNNNNNNNNNNNNNNNNNNNNNNNNNNUCCAGCUCCAAUAGCGUAUAUUAAAGUUGUUGUGGUUAAAAAGCUCGUAGUUGAACCUUGGGCCUGGCUGGCCGGUCCGCCUCACCGCGUGUACUGGUCCGGCCGGGCCUUUCCCUCUGUGGAACCCCAUGCCCUUCGCUGGGUGUGGCGGGGAAACAGGACUUUUACUUUGAAAAAAUUAGAGUGCUCCAGGCAGGCCUAUGCUCGAAUACAUUAGCAUGGAAUAAUGAAAUAGGACGUGCGGUUCUAUUUUGUUGGUUUCUAGGACCGCCGNAAUGAUUAAUAGGGACAGUCGGGGGCAUCAGUAUUCAAUUGUCAGAGGUGAAAUUCUNGGAUCUAUUGAAGACUAACUACUGCGAAAGCAUUUGCCAAGGAUGUUUUCAUUAAUCANGAACGAAAGUUAGGGGAUCGAAGACGAUCAGAUACC